UUUGCUUUCUCACAACAUGCAUCCUAAUCUGCAUGGAAAAUACUUUUAGCUAUUCCUAACUUAUAUCAAAUAACCUUUCUAGUCCUCCUUAUCAUAGUGAUUUUGUGUUGUUGUGCAUUGCUAUAUAUGAAAUUCUAAUAGCAUGGUGCUUUCCGCCUUUCCCCACCUAUAGCUAUCUAAUGUUGAUGGGUCUAAGAGGAACUCAAACAGAUCAUGAUGGUGUGAUAUCGAUGUAUCAAGGGUCUUCUUCAAUGAGAUGGUGGUUCUUUCACAAAAGGAUUCCACGAUCAAAGCUAAAAUAUAGGGAUUGAUCGAUGAUGAUUAUUUUCACACUACUAAAAAACUGAUUUUUAGUACGCAAGCUUAACUAUGGUUCUCUUUAAAAUGUCUUAUCUUUAAGACGGUGAAACUUUUGUAAAUACAACAAAUAUUUCAAUAACGAUUUUCGCAAAAACAUAGUUGAAACUGUAAAACAAUCACAGUUUUUAGGAAAAUCAUCGUCGUUUUGGUUUUGAAAAACUGUCGGUUAUUUUUUUAUUUUUUUCUGACUCGCGCCCUAGCCCCCUCUCACUCCGCUCACUCCACCGAUAGAUCUCUUUGCGCCCCUCUCACUCUGUCUGUACGUGUCACUCCGCCUCUGUCAGCGCCGCCGUCGUAGUGUCUCCUGCACCAUCACUCUCUCACCGUUGAAGCCGCCGUCGUCGUUGUGGGGGUCGUGAGGGCAUAUUAGUGUUGCUGCAUCUACUUGAAGGGGUUGUUUUGGUGCAUCCCUUUUUCUUGGGAGAGGAACCGUUUGGGUGUGAAGCAAACAUGCCUGACCAAGCGAGAAGAAGAUACACGAUUUGUGGCGGUUUGCCUGCCCCAGUGAGAGUGGAUCCGAUGACCCAAUUAUUAACCCGAGUAAGGAUCCAAAACUGGGGAAGCUAGCUAGUGAAAGAUUGCUUCUUUGUGUUGCGAAGAAGGAUUUGGUGAGGGACAGGGGUUUGUACUGUAAGGAGUUGCUUGAGAAGAAUGGGUGGUCUGGUGUUGCGGAAGUGGUGGAGACGAAGGAUGAGGACCAUGUUUUUCAUUUGUUCAAACCGAAUUGUGAGAAUGCUCAGGUUUUGAUCGACCAGAUUGUUUCCUUUCUCAAAUAGUAUUGAACAUUAUUGUGUGUAUGCUCUAUUUUGUUUGUGUUUCAAUUGUCCUUUUUAGUUCUCAGUUGUAUGAUGGCUUAUGCACCUUGUAUAUAUUGUAUCCUAUUAAAGAAAAAAAAAAUUGUAUAUAUUGUAUCCCCUCCAAAUGUGAGGAUGUUUCUGCAGAAGAAUCACUUAUAGUUCCCUGUUGCUGUUAAUCUAUUACUGGGUGAGUUUGAUGAACA